rnacentral:rRNA from 1 species
UACGUAGGGUGCGAGCGUUAAUCGGAAUUACUGGGCGUAAAGGGCGCGUAGGCGGGUCGUUUAGUUAGAGGUGAAAGCCCAGGGCUCAACCCUGGAAUUGCCUUUAAUACUGGCGGCCUUGAGUAUGGCAGAGGUGUGUGGAACUCCGAGUGUAGAGGUGAAAUUCGUAGAUAUUCGCAAGAACACCAGUGGCGAAGGCGGCUCACUGGCCCGGUACUGACGCUGAGGUGCGAAAGCGUGGGGAGCAAACAGG